rnacentral:lncRNA from 1 species
GAUGGAACUCUUUCUCCACAGGCAGAGCUUGUCAGGCAGGCAGCUGUUGUCAGCAAGAACCUGCCUCUGUGAAGGGGAAUGUUUCCCACUUAGUCUGUGGGGUUCUCAGUAAUGAUGCUGGAAGCAGCUGUCUUGUGUGCAUUGGCUUCUAAGCUGAAGAUGACUGAACCCAGGGGCCAUUGUCCUUCUCCCGUGAAUCUUCCAGCCAUUCACUUUGGAGAGCGUUUUCUUUGAAUGGUUGCUUGGUGGUAUGGUUCUCUGUCUUCCUAGUGUUUCUAAGUUGCCCUGAUUUUACAAGUCUUGAAUAGACAUAUGGGCCCCAAAUAAUUGUACUGAAAAAUGCAGAAAAUAUUGAGCAAGAGGCUAUUGGAUUUCCAUAAGUAAGCAAAUAUAUUUUAAGAACUCACUGGUGAAAAUUGCUUUUUAUUUAAUGAGUCAUUUUUAUUGGAAGGUAAUGAUUAUGUCCAAGCCAUAAAUACAGUAUAAAUUCUCUUUGGAGGGCAUUAAAAAGAUGACUCUCGACUGCAAGCAGCUUUUUAAAGAGUGUAGGGAUAUUGAGGUAUCAAUUUCCAAACCUGAAGAUUCUGUCCCUGUAGGGGGAGCAGGAAGAAGUGAAGGAGAUCACACAAGGGCUUGAGCAUGGGAGCAGAUGGUUACGGCGUGGCCGAGCAUCAUAUAGGGAUGUGUAAUGAUGAAGAGCUUCAGUUUUCCAAGGUCAAAUUUCACGCUUUAUCUUAUUGUCACAAGUACUAAAUGAGUUUCCCAUUCCUCUUCCCAUUUUAUAAGUGGGAAAAUCGAGGUUCAGGGAAGUUUAGAGCCUUGCUUGUAUACUCAGCAAUUUCUCUCAGUUCCUUGAGUAUCUCAGGAAUACAUAUAAUUAUCACAGUUAACAAUCUGUGUAUGAAAGGGUUGUGGUAACAGUCAAACAGAAGCAAGAAUUUUGUUUGUGAUUAAAGGUAACGUAACUUUUGUUUGUUUCUUGAAUUUUUGUUUGUUUAUUUUGUUUUUGUUGGUUUUGGUUUUGUUUGAAGCAAGGUGUUUUUUCCAUUUUUUAAAAUUUUUAUUUAUUUAUUUUAUUUUUAUUUUUUUCUGCUUAUGCUGUUUUAUUAGAUAUUUUCUUCAUUUAUAUUUCAAAUGCUAUCCUGAACGUCCCCUAUCCCCCGCCCCCCUGCCCCCCAACACACACACACUCCUGCUUCCUGGCCCUGGCAUUCCCCUGUACUGGGACAUAUAAUCUUUGCAAGACCAAGGGCCUCUCCUCCCAAUGAUGGCCAAAUAGGCGAUCUUCUGAAACAAGGUCUUAAGUAGUCAGUUAACCCUAAAAUCCUGAUCUUCCUGCCAUGACUUUCUUCUCUGGAAUGCCAUGACUGCAGAUGGAUAUCACCAUAAAGAAUUCAGGCCACCAAGUAAUAUUCAUAUUCUGUUGUGUAUUGUUUCUCUGUUAAAAUUCUGGUUUAUUUCAAAAUAACAUGAAGAAAAUACAAUGAUAAUGAUGAUGAUGAUGAUGAUGAUGAUGAUGAUGAUGAUGAUGAUGAUGAUACAGAGGAGGAUCCUGUUUAGCUGGCCAGCUUGCAAGUACAAAUGAGAGGACUUUUCCACUUGAUUUUCAUGCUAUCAAGAUUCCUGACUACGCUGUCUAUCAGCUAUACUAGUCAGCUACUUUUCUUAGGGCACUGAGCACACCGAAGCUGUGGGCAUAAAACCUAUCUUAAACUGCCGUCACUGACGAUUCUCCUCAUAGUUCAGGAUCAGUCGUCUGACUUCCACUUCACUGCAAAUUCACUGGAGUCAAGAUUUCUGCCUGGUAAACCACUGUGCAUGUCUCAUUCAAUACUUGCCAUUGUAGGUAUUUGUGGAAGAAGACUAAGAGAAGUUCCCAUUGCAUAGGCAAGUGUGGGUGAGGGUCUUGAUUCAGUCGUCUUAAACACUUAAGUACCAUGCAGAAGCUAUGCCCUGUGCAUAUCACUUCCAAAUCCUUAAGGACAAUCCCUUCUGCUUCCUUUGUUCUUGUGGGGUUAAAAGCUUUGAAUAAUGUAUAUGUCC